GCUGGCAGUAUGCCUCUGGGGUCUGGAAGGCCAGACCCAGGCGCUCCCACACGGUACGGUAGCAGCCUUCAGCUGUCUGGAAGCCCUCCCAAGUCAGGCCCUGUUGGGAGAGAUGACAGUCAUACAUACUAACUUGCACCCUCUGAAUAGCCAUUUCCACUGGAUAGAUGGAGGCAGGAUAGUCUUUGCCUUCAAGGAGUGGGAAGGAAGUAGAGGAGGUAACUGUGACCCACAGGCAAGUCUGAAGGCAGGAGCUAGAAUGCAUACCAGGGAAAAGCGGGAGGCUUUAUAGAUGGAUAAGAUGGCAUUGGGUUAUGCCUUGAAGAAAUUUGGUGGCUGAGGAAGUUUUCUGGGCCAGGAUACAGAUGGUAGAGAGAUGGGAAAGGGAGUGUAUUACCUCUUGGAUCAUGGUAGCUGCCAAUCCGUAGACCACACCCACCCAGACUUCAUCAGACUGCACACUGGAUUUAUCAGGGACACCAUGGGGCUGCAUCCCAUUCACAGCCCCCAUGGCCCCUCCUGCAAAGGCCUGGACGUUCAGCUCAAAGAUAGUUUGGAGAGCACGGACCACAUGUGGGGUAGGAAACACCUGGAGGGGCAAUGGCAGGAACAUAGUCUCAUAUACUUACUUCCCACCUUCAGGGAAAACCCAGUUUUCUUUCUGGCUCCUCCUCCUAGUCUCACCUCAGUCUCUCCUUCUCCUAGGCCACAGGCCUUCAGGAACCACUGUCCAGCACACUGGUCAGACAUAACACUACGAGACUGAGGCUGAGAGCUGCUGUCAUAGUUGUAAUAGCGGCCUGGAGUCGAGGAAGAGAAAAUAAGGCUCCUGGUGUCCCUUCAGCUGCUUUAAGACUACUUAGGCUCCCCGAACUCACCAUUCCACAGCAGUCUCUCAUAGGCUUCUUGGCCCCGGUGAAGGAUGGAAGAAAACUUAUCCUGAAUGUCCUGUGCCCCACACAGAGCAGCCAUCUGGACCAUCACAGCCACAGCUGCCAGCCACAGCCCUCCACAACUCCAUCACAGCCUAGAGAGGGGACCAAGAUGCUGAAGACCUAGGUACCGAGGAAAGGCAACAACCAGCUAGGCUCUUCCCAGACACCAGCCAUAACCCUGGCACACUGGUCACUGCAUGUGCAUCCCUUACUAGACACACAGGCCACAUGUCCUUCAGGAAGUUUUGAUCACCCGUCAGGUAAUAGUCCCGAUAAACCUGCAGCACAAACUUCAGGUUCAGGUCCUUCCAGUCAGCAGUAUCGUGGAUCAAAUAUGCAUUGACCCGGA